rnacentral:rRNA from 2 species
UGGGGAAUAUUGCACAAUGGGCGCAAGCCUGAUGCAGCCAUGCCGCGUGUGUGAAGAAGGCCUUCGGGUUGUAAAGCACUUUCAGCGAGGAGGAAGGCAUAAAGGUUAAUAACCUUUGUGAUUGACGUUACUCGCAGAAGAAGCACCGGCUAACUCCGUGCCAGCAGCCGCGGUAAUACGGAGGGUGCAAGCGUUAAUCGGAAUUACUGGGCGUAAAGCGCACGCAGGCGGUUUGUUAAGUCAGAUGUGAAAUCCCCGCGCUUAACGUGGGAACUGCAUUUGAAACUGGCAAGCUAGAGUCUUGUAGAGGGGGGUAGAAUUCCAGGUGUAGCGGUGAAAUGCGUAGAGAUCUGGAGGAAUACCGGUGGCGAAGGCGGCCCCCUGGACAAAGACUGACGCUCAGGUGCGAAAGCGUGGGGAGCAAACAGG